UUGUCUGGAGCAAAAGCCUUCACCCACAAACUGGUUCGUCCCUGGUUGAAAAUGAUCUGAAAUCACGGCUGUAUGUGGUUUAUUAAUACAUCCCAUUGGUUGAAAUGCCAUUCUGCUUUUGUGCACCUUUUCUCUUCAUGUGUAGUAACAUUCUCUCGCCUCUAGGGGUCACUAAACACCUAUAGAUUCUGUGACAACGUGUGGACCUUCGUUCUGAAUGACGUGGAGUUUAGGGAAGUGACAGAUCUGGUCAAGGUGGACAAAGUCAAGAUCGUCGCCUGCGAUGGGAAAAACACGGGCAAUGCUGCAGAGUGAACGAAGACGAUGGCAUCCGCUGAGACGUUACUGAUGAAGAGGAGGGUGGAGAGAAACCACCCCAUAUCACAGACAGACAGGACUGUAUAUAUAACUUAUUACAGUAAUGGCUGUGAAGAAGAUACACUUAAACCCGUGUGUGUGUGUGUGUAUAUAUAUAUACGACCAUCUGGAUCAAUGGGAGUGAAUGGACCAGUCAAGGCCUUGGAUAUUGCUUGCAUGACUUUUUUAUUUAAAUAAAUUUGUUUCUUAGAACUGCCUUUUCAGUUUAGUUACUGUUGUUGAGCUUGUUAACCUUUAAUAAACUUUUAUUUAAAAUA